CCUACGGGUGACAGCAGUGAGGAAUAUUGGUCAAUGGACGAGAGUCUGACCCAGCCAAGUCGCGUGAAGGAUGACUGCCCUCUGGGUUGUAACCUUCUUUUAUAUGGGAAUAAAAUGUUCCACGUGCGGGAUUUUAUAUGUACCAUAUCAAUAAGGAUCGGCUAACUCCGUGCCAGCAGCCGCGGUAAUACGGAGGAUCCGAGCGUUAUCCGGAUUUAUUGGGUUUAAAGGGAGCGUAGGUGGAUUGUUAAGUCAGUUGUGAAAGUUUGCGGCUCAACCGUAAAAUUGCAGUUGAAACUGGCAGUCUUGAGUACAGUAGAGGUGAGCGGAAUUCGGGGUGUAGCGGUGAAAUGCGUAGAUAUCACGAAGAACUCCGAUGGCGAAGGCAGUUCACUGGACUGCAACUGACACUGAGGCUCGAAAGUGUGGGUAUCAAACAGGAUUAGAUACCCGGGUAGUC
rnacentral:rRNA from 1 species